ACACUCAUGUUUCUCUUCAAUUCGAAUGAAUCUUUCGCCUUUUACUAAAGAUUUCCGUGGAGAGGAACACCAUCAGUAUUAACGAAUUAUUUUGAUGCCCUGCUUUAAAGUGGGGCU